UUAGGAAUAUUCGUCAAUGGGGGAAACCCUGAACGAGCAAUGCCGCGUGAGUGAUGACGGUCUUAAUGAUUGUAAAACUCUGUUGUAAAGGAAGAACAGCUAUCAUAGGUAAUGAUGAUAGUGUGACGGUACUUUACCAGAAAGCCCCGGCUAACUACGUGCCAGCAGCCGCGGUAAUACGUAGGGGGCGAGCGUUAUCCGGAUUUAUUGGGCGUAAAGCGUUCGUAGGCGGUUUGUUAAGUCUGAGAUUUAAGCCCGAGGCUCAACCUCGGUUCGUUUCAGAAACUGGCAGACUUGAGUGUGGUAGAGGCAAGUGGAAUUUCUAGUGUAGCGGUUAAAUGCGUAGAUAUUAGAAGGAACACCAGUGGCGAAGGCGGCUUGCUGGGCCAUUACUGACGCU
rnacentral:rRNA from 1 species